UAACAGUGAAUCACUUUCUUAAGAAGUUACACAAAAACUGCAAGCUCCCUACUCCUGAACCCCCCAUGCAAAGCAAACAAACUCACUUCCACAAAUCUCAAGGCAGAGGAGGCAUGAUUCAGUGUGGUAGUGGCAUAAGUUUCGUCUUCUAUUAUAAUAAUAAGAAUGAUAAGAAGAUUAGGGUUUGAAGGUUUCUUUCCCUCACUCACUGUCUGGUCUGUAAAAAAAAAGAGGGCAUGAGGGUUCAUAAUUGUUAUUAUAUACUAAAGCAUGUGCUCUGAAGUUGGCCUUUUUGAGAAGUGCCACAAGUUCUGGACAUUGUUGGAUGGGGAGGUUGGCACUUGUUUUUCACACUCUUGUGGGCAUUCAUGGCAAGGAAGUGCAGUGCCUUUGCUCUUCUUAUUUAACCAUUUGUUUUGUGUGGUGUCUGUUUCUUAUUAUGGUUAGUGUAUUUGGGGUGUGAUUCAUGUUAUUGGUUCUCUAGAUUUGUGUUUGAUUUUCAACUGUUUAUUAUUAUUAUUAUUAUUAUUUUAAUUAAUCUAUUUUUAUUGUUGUUGAUACUGUCUUGUAGAAACUACUCUGGUGUAUUAAAUCUACUCUUGGGAUUCUUGUUGGAAUUUCUUGUGCUUCAUGUUUUUUGUUGUCUCUAUUCUUUUUCUUUUUUCUUGUUGUUUCUUUGUUGAGUUUCCUUGUAAAAAAAAGGAAACAAAAGAAGAAGAAAUUAAAAGCAUCUAUAUAUAUAUAUAUAUAUAUAAGGAAUGUUAAAAUGACCCACCUAUUUACUAAAUCAAUCCAUCCUAUCAAAACCAUCAUUUGAAUCAUGGCCUUCAUCCCAACCCCCUUUGUUCCCAACUCUCACUCCCCUUGUUUCUCAUAAUAGGAUGGAUAUAUUUUUAGUAAAUAGAUGGGUCAUUUUAACAUAUAUAUAUACACACACAUAUAUAGAGUGAGAUAGAGGGGGGAGAGAGAGAUGUAUAUUUCUAAUAGAUAUUUCAAGUUUUAUUUUAUCUUACUUAUUAAAAUAAAUAUUUAUUACUUCUUUGCACCAAUCAUUAUAAGUUUAUAGGUUUUACAUUAUUGUUAUGUGUUGUUAUUUGUCUUUGUUUGAACAAGUCAAUAGUAGAAAAAUACCCUAUGGUAUAAUUCAAUCCAUCUCCAAUUCAAUUUAAAUAUAAUGUAAAAUUGUCAUACUACAAUUUAAAAUAUGCUUCAUGUAUAAGCCCAAAACUGAUUGCUAAAAUAUAACAAGAAAUAAUUAUUUUUUUAUAUUAAAAUAAUAUCUUCAAUAUAUAAUAAAAUAUCCUCUUUCAAAAAAAUGCAAUGAUAUUUUUGCAUUUUCAAUAAUCAAUUAAUGAGGUGAUUUAACAUAUUUAUCAAGUUUUGUUGUGUUUUGCUUCAAUAAAUUUUAAGAUUUACAUACGUAUAUAUAUAUCUAAACACAUUUCAUUUCUUUUGAUACAACAGAAGUACAUGUUCAAAAAAUCAGUUUUCAAGCAAGUAUUUAAAGUUCACUUUUAAGGUGGUGAAUGGUAUAGAAAUAAUUUACAGGUAAUAGAGCUUCAAAAAAUCUCACUUCAUGUUCUCACCCAUCUGUCAACAUUAUCUUCUGAUAGAGUACUGAGAUCCAAACAUCAACCUGUAACAUUUCAACAUUCCUUUGAGUUUAAUAAACGAUGGACUUGUUUCCUUUUCCAUACCCGACAACAUGUAAUUUGAUUAAACCGCAUCUAUUUAUAUCCAAUUAUUCAUUGAAAGUGGAUGUUCUGCUUGCACCACGAUUAAAAGUGACAACAAAGAAACUACAUUCAAUGUACUGGUAGAGAAAUACGUCACCUACGUCAGACACUUCUUCCCUACGGCUUGAGCAUUCCUUACUUGGGUCAUUCAACGGAUAAUUCUACUCGGGAGGGCACAAGGAGUAGAUCAACACUUGAUGAUAGCACUUGAAACUGGAAGGAUAAUAAGGUUAUGCCUCUAAAACUACACCCAGAGAUUCCAGACGAUGUCCUCUUACUUUCAUUUCAUGUCUCUGUAAAUGUAUAAAUUCUGCCAAAAUAAAACUACUUUACAGAGCAGAGGAACUACGAAAUACGGUUUGAACACACUGCAAAUCAUUACUUCAGAAAUAGUUUUGGGCACAUAUUGUCUUAGAUUACUGUCACCACCACAAACAAAUCCUGUGUAAAGCCCAGGUUGAGACUUGAGCAUGCAUUCGGUUCCACAAGGCAUUGCAAUGCUGCUUUGCAGGUCGUUCUGUCCACGGUGCUUAAGUGUUAGUAACAAGAGGUAUGGAACGGGACAGGCGAAAUAUCCAUCAGCCACCAAUUGAGAAAUGCCCAUCCCGGGAAAAAGUCGA
rnacentral:lncRNA from 1 species